CUGGCCAGUAUAAUAAGGUAGGUGGGGUUUGGACUGGCCAGUAUAAUAAGGUAAGUGGGGUUUGGACUGGCCAGUAUAAUAAGGUAGGUGGGGUUUGGACUGGCCAGUAUAAUAAGGUAGGUGGGGUUUGGACUGGCCAGUAUAAUAAGGUAGGUGGGGUUUGGACUGGCCAGUAUAAUAAGGUAGGUGGGAGUUGGACUGGCCAGUAUAAUAAGGUAGGUGGGGUUUGGACUAGCCAGUAUAAUAAGGUAGGUGGGGUUUGGACUAGCCAGUAUAAUAAGGUAGGUGGGAGUUGGACUGGCCAGUAAAAUAAGGUAAGUGGGGUUUGGACUGGCCAGUAUA